AUAAGGUCAAUGAUUGGCGUG
rnacentral:miRNA from 1 species